rnacentral:tRNA from 1 species
GAUGGUUUGGCUGAGUGGUCUCAGGUGCCAGAUUUUGGCUCUGGUCUAAAGGGCGUGGGUUCAAAUCUCACAGCUAUCA